rnacentral:rRNA from 1 species
AGAGUUUGAUCCUGGCUCAGGAUGAACGCUAGCGACAGGCCUAACACAUGCAAGUCGAGGGGCAGCGGAGAGGUAGCAAUACCUUUGCCGGCGACCGGCGCACGGGUGAGUAACACGUAUGCAAUCCACCUGUAACAGGGGGAUAACCCGGAGAAAUCCGGACUAAUACCCCAUAAUAUGGGCUCUCCGCAUGGAGAGCCCAUUAAAGAGAGCAAUUUUGGUUACAGACGAGCAUGCGCUCCAUUAGCCAGUUGGCGGGGUAACGGCCCACCAAAGCGACGAUGGAUAGGGGUUCUGAGAGGAAGGUCCCCCACAUUGGAACUGAGACACGGUCCAAACUCCUACGGGAGGCAGCAGUGAGGAAUAUUGGUCAAUGGACGAGAGUCUGAACCAGCCAAGUCGCGUGAAGGAAGACGGAUCUAUGGUUUGUAAACUUCUUUAGUGCGGGAACAAAGCGGCGUCGUGACGCCUGAUGAGUGUACCGCAAGAAUAAGCAUCGGCUAACUCCGUGCCAGCAGCCGCGGUAAUACGGAGGAUGCGAGCGUUAUCCGGAUUUAUUGGGUUUAAAGGGUGCGUAGGCGGCACGCCAAGUCAGCGGUGAAAUUUCCGGGCUCAACCCGGACUGUGCCGUUGAAACUGGCGAGCUAGAGUGCACAAGAGGCAGGCGGAAUGCGUGGUGUAGCGGUGAAAUGCAUAGAUAUCACGCAGAACCCCGAUUGCGAAGGCAGCCUGCUAGGGUGAAACAGACGCUGAGGCACGAAAGCGUGGGUAUCGAACAGGAUUAGAUACCCUGGUAGUCCACGCAGUAAACGAUGAAUACUAACUGUUCGGAGGGCGACCUCUGAGUGGUAAAGCGAAAGCGUUAAGUAUUCCACCUGGGGAGUACGCCGGCAACGGUGAAACUCAAAGGAAUUGACGGGGGCCCGCACAAGCGGAGGAACAUGUGGUUUAA